UUGACUAUAUCCGAGUCUCUCUGACGACUGGGCCCCGCCGCUAAUUCCUAGCCUACGUGAGCUUUGCGAAACGAAUCGUCUCGGCAUCUCGCGCGAACUAGGGUUUAAGCGCUACGGGACGCGGCGGCGGCGGCCGGUGGACAGCUGAGAUGGCGGAGGCUGCCGUGAGGUGCCUCCGGGACGGGCGCCUCGACGGCGAGCACGCGCCAGCGCUGGCCGUGGAGGGCUCCCUCCAGUGCUGCCCGCUCGCCGCGGGCGCGAUGCUCCACGUCGCGGCCGCCCUCGCCUCCCAGAUCGCCGCAGGGAAGGCUCAGGCCAGGGGGCUGGUUAUUUUGGCCUUUGAUCGGAGCCCGGAGGUGUACCUGGACUUCAUGCGGCGGCGCGGCCUUGAUUCAAAUGCUUUGGAUCGAUGUGUUCGGAUAUUGGAUUGCUAUUCAGACCCACUUGGAUGGAAGCAGAAGAUUCAUAAUCAGCAGCGUCAAGAGAACAGUAGAACACAGACCACAACAAACAAAGAGAACAUUACUGUUUUUAGAAAUGUAAAGGAUGUUGAAAAAUUAAUGUACUCCACUACUGAACUUGGAGGAGGGUUUGAAGGAGAGGGCAAAACAUAUUUUUCUAUAGCUGUUGACUCGAUUAGCUCUAUGUUAAGGCAUGCUUCAGUGCCAUCAAUUUCAGGUCUUCUUAGUAAUUUUCGAAGCCAUGAUCAAGUAUCAUCGAUCUUUUGGCUAAUGCAUUCAGACCUCCAUGAACCCAAGGUGCCCCGAGCAUUUCAAUGCCUUUCUACUAUGAUUGCUAGUGUGGAGCCAGCACUUGUAGAUCCUGUGUAUGGAGAAAGUCCUGGAAACAUGUCUUUCCUUGAGCAAAAUUAUUCAAAAGCAAAGAUUAUUGUGCGCCUUAAACGACGAAAUGGACGGGUGAAGCACCUUUAUGAGGACUUACAUGUUGAGGGAAAUGAUGUCAAAUUUGUCUCUGCUCCUUCUGUAAGCACAGAAGUGAACCAAAGUCUAGUGCCUAAGGUUCAGUUCAAUCUUGAGCUGUCAGAAAAGGAGCGCAGUGACAGGGCUAAUGUUGUUCUUCCUUUUGAACAUCAAGGAAAGGGCGCAACUAUUCGUAUAUAUGAUGGCCGCCGAUCCCUAGCUGAGGCUCAAGGAGACCCGAACUUAACAGCACCGGCCCUUGUGAAUGAAAUAAAAGCUCCCGAACCUGGAACUGCGAAGGGUGAGAUACAUUACAUUCGUGAUUCAGAUGACGAGCACCCUGAUUCAGAUGAAGACCCAGAUGAUGAUUUGGACAUAUGAGUUCUAGCCAAUGUACGCGCUCUUUACCAUGGUGGCAUGCACAGAUCAAUCCAAGGUAACCGAAACCUUAGCAAAAAAUCUGACUUGCCCAAGUUUGAUAGGGGCAGGCAUUAGAGGCCUAAAUGACAUGGAUUGGAAUUAGAGGCAGUGGUUGUCUAUGCCCUUCGUGACUUUGUGUGCCUAGACUCGAAAUAUUGAAGUUUUUUUUACCAGUGCAAAGUGAUGUCUGGUACGGCUGAAAUACACAAGACGAUUAAAUUGGAUGCAUAAUUAUUAAUUGAUGACUUAUUAUAUUCUACAGAA